AAUAUGUUUUACUUAUAAGAUUUUUUCAAUCCAUUCCCACUAUCUUACGCUACCUAUUUUAUACUUAUAAUUGCAAGGGUACUGUAAAUGUUAAUACUCUAAGUAUACAUUGUAUACAUGUACUAGUAUAAAAUUAUAUUAAUUUAUUUUUUUAAAUUUUUUUUUGUUUUUGAUAAUAUUGAUAUCAAAAGAUAAAAAAAUAAAUAAAUGAAAUAGCAGUAUUAAAUUUGAAAUUAAUCACAGUCCGCCUCAUCUCGAGUCAUGGUCCGCCAUUUCCAAACAUAUGGUCCGUCCUGGUAUGGUUUGCCCUGUCUCACGGUCCCCCCUGUCCUACGACCAUUGUUAUAUCUUGUUCAAUACUGUCUGGUGCCAUAUAAGAUGUUUGCUUGGGACAUUACAGAUUGUUACCUUCUGAUGCCACAUAAGGCAAUAUAGUUAAUAAAUCAUAUGAGCUAUAAUAGAUUACAUUUCACACAUAUUUUUAUUACUUUUUGUGAAUAAUUGUAUUUAUCAAUCAUAUGUAGGCCUACAGAAUGCAAAUUUAAAUUAUCUGUAAAUAAAUUUGUACUGCUUUCAGAGAGAUGUAUGUAGAUCAAACCCAUCAAGUAAGCCAACACCAUGUCUACAAGGUCAUACCUCUAGAACCUCUGACACCUGUAUAGCUGAGGACAAAUCUAAAAGUGGACAGAGGGAUAGUAUGAAUGCUUCAGUGAAAUUAAGGAGCUCAGGUUCUAACAAGCGUAGUAGAGCAGUGCAACACAGAGGUACUCCAAUGUGCAAUUUUACAAGUUUUUCCAGACAGUGAUUACAGCGAGGCUUGAAGAUUACUGUACACAAUUUCUUAACAAAUCCAAAAACAAAGCCAUGUAACAUUCAACUAAGUGAUUCAAAGAAAACCAAACUACAAACAAGAAAGGGUCGAUUGAAUGGAGUGACAUUUUUACCCUGAAGGGUCCUAUUAAGAUAAAGAGAAUCUAGUCGUUUGUGCCACGGCACAAAAUUAUCAGACACAUAAGUAACAUUCAAGUAGUUAUGCAUUUACAUGGAGGAUAUGACAUUAUUGUAUUUUCAUAUUGAAUUUAUCAUAUAAGUUGCCAGUUGAUCGAACCACACACUUAAUUGCCAACAUGGUUGGAAGGGUCUUAUUGUCCAAGCUGCAAAGAGUGUAUACCCUUAUAAACUAGCUGGCACAGUUGUGUGUCAGUUGAUAUCAGUCUGUGCUGGUUGCAAAUUAAAUCCAAUACUUUCAUAGAAUUAUAUGUUUUUAUUUUAUGUUUAUAGCAUCAAUAAAUUGAUAAUCUGAAAACAUAUUGCAAGUCAGGUUUUCAAGUAAAAUCCUAAUUAACUUUUAGAACAUUUUGCAUAAAGUAAGGUGAUAUCUCUAAGUUGUCAAAGAAAAGCUUUUGCAGCUCUUUAUAAUUAAACAUGGCAUGGCACUUGUAUCUAUAGCUUUGUUCACCAUCCAAGUUAUACAUGUACUCAAAUUUUGUGACGUUUUUUAAUAUAUUUUUCCCCAUAUUCCUAGUACAGUAAUUUGUUACAUUUCUCUUUCCUCUAUCAUUCUUAGUUUUUGUAUUUAAUAUUUUCCAAGUGAUUAAUAAAAACAAUAAAAUUUCACAAUUAUUUAUAAUUUUUUAUUUACUUGUGUAUUUCAUGCAAUGAGGCUAAAAAUGUAAAAAAAGUAAUUUUUGAAGAAAUUUUUUUUUUAAGUUAGACCAGUGUUGCUUCAGCCAUCAAUAUGUUAACUUGUCAUGUAGUAUGUACACAAACAUACUGGGAGAAGAAACAGAUGUUUGGCUUAAUGAAAGUACAAAAUGUUUUUGCUUAUCGUUUUCCAAUGAGAAGUUACAAUGCACAAGGUUAAAUUACUUUUUUGGAUGAUGUUCUUUUCUGUGGAAAGACCAGGUGUUGCUUCACAAUUGUUUUUUUUCCUCAUUAAUAUCAUUAAAUGUAAUUUCAAUUUUUGGCUUUUCGCUUGAUAUAUUGAUGUCCUGUGUGAGCAUCUAUUAGCAAUACAUGUAUCAAUGAGUGUCAUGAGUUACUUUUUGAGACCAUAAAGUACAAAAUAAAACUAUAUUACAGCU